rnacentral:rRNA from 1 species
UACAGAGGUCUCAAGCGUUGUUCGGAUUCAUUGGGCGUAAAGGGUGCGUAGGCGGCGCGGUAAGUCGGGUGUGAAAUCUCGGAGCUUAACUUCGAAACUGCAUUCGAUACUGCCGUGCUUGAGGACUGGAGAGGAGACUGGAAUUUACGGUGUAGCGGUGAAAUGCGUAGAUAUCGUAAGGAAGACCAGUGGCGAAGGCGGGUCUCGUGGACAGUUCCUGACGCUGAGGCACGAAGGUCAGGGGAGCAAACGGG